GAGGCAACAUGGACCUUAGUGGCCCUUCAGUUGGGAAAUGAGCAUCAAGCCCUUAGCCUUGUCAAGCAAGUGCUCAACUUAUGGACAUUUCAUUUGUGACAAAUGUCCAUGUGUGGAUUCUUCCAGUUUGCACUUUCACCUUCAGCAUGUACCUGUGAUCUCCAUGGCUACCUAUGCCACAUGCAUGGACUUGAACCAAGUGCUUUCUAAAGAUCAACAGAGCAAAAUCACCAACAGAGUGGCUCAUGGUAUGCCCAGAGCGGAGAAGACUUUUCAACAUUAGUCGUGUUACUUGGUCACAAG
rnacentral:lncRNA from 1 species